rnacentral:rRNA from 1 species
UCCUUACGGGAGGGCAGGCAGGUGGGGGAAUCUUGCACAAUGGGGGGUCACCCNUGAUGCAGCCAUGCNGCGUGGGAGGAAGACACCCNUAUGGGGCGUAAACUCCUUUUCUGAAAUGAAGAAACCCCUGUAGCUUCAGGGUCGCGACGGUAGUUCAGGAAUAAGCACCGGCUAACUCCGUGCCAGCAGCCGCGGUAAUACGGAGGGUGCAAGCGUUGUCCGGAAUCACUGGGUGUAAAGGGUGUGCAGGCGGGGCAGCAAGUCGGAUGUGGAAACCCCAUGGCUUAACCAUGGAGGUGCAUUCGAAAACUGUUGCUCUUGAGUCCCGGAGAGGCCUGUCGGAAAUUCGUGGUGUAGCGGUGAAAUGUCGUAGAUAUCACGAGGAACACCAGAGGCGAAAGCGGACAGCUGGACGGGUACUGACGCUCAGGCACGAAAGUCGUGGGGAGCA